UAUGUAAACAUACAACAAAUAAUAAUUCUCCCAUCUAUUAUCAAUCGUCUCUGGUGUAUUCAUAAGCCAUAAUAUUAAUAGAGUAUAAUCGCAAGUUUACAAGGCAACAACGAUCUAAUUCAGUCUUCGGUAAUAUCAUCUAGCCGUAUACACGCCAAUUUUAGUUUGUUGAUUUCGCGCAGCCAUAGUCUGUGUGGUGGUGAUUUUAUUGAAAAGCUCAUCAAAAUGCUGUGCAAAAGUUCGAGGCGUUUGUCCCUUGGCAAAUUCAGAAGAGAACCCAACGACUGAGGAUGAAAAGCCGUGGAUGUUAUUCGCUGUAUUUUGAAAAUCCUGCAGAAAUUCUUCAUUACCUGGCUAAUGAAGUUCCUCCCUUGAUCAGUAUGGA